rnacentral:rRNA from 1 species
UUAAACUGAAGAGUUUGAUCCUGGCUCAGAUUGAACGCUGGCGGCAUGCCUUACACAUGCAAGUCGAACGGCAGCACGGGUGCUUGCACCUGGUGGCGAGUGGCGAACGGGUGAGUAAUACAUCGGAACAUGUCCUGUAGUGGGG